UACGAAGGGGGCUAGCGUUGCUCGGAAUCACUGGGCGUAAAGCGCACGUAGGCGGAUCUUUAAGUCAGGGGUGAAAUCCCAAGGCUCAACCCUGGAACUGCCUUUGAUACUGGGGAUCUCGAGUCCGGAAGAGGUUGGUGGAACUCCGAGUGUAGAGGUGAAAUUCGUAGAUAUUCGGAAGAACACCAGUGGCGAAGGCGGCCAACUGGUCCGGCACUGACGCUGAGGUGCGAAAGCGUGGGGAGCAAACAGG
rnacentral:rRNA from 1 species